rnacentral:misc_RNA from 1 species
GAAAUGCGAUAAGUAAUGAGAAUUGCAGAAUUCAGUGAAUCAUCGAAUCUUUGAACGCACCUUGCGCUCCUUGGUAUUCCUUGGAGCAUGCCUGUUUGAGUAUCAUGAAAUCUUCAAAGUAAAUCUUUUGUUAACUCAAUUGGUUUCUACUUUGGUAUUGGAGGUCUUUGCAGCUUCACACCUGCUCCUCUUUGUUCAUUAGCUGGAUCUCAGUGUUAUGCUUGGUUCCACUCGGCGUGAUAAGUUAUCUAUCGCUGAGGACACUGUAAAAGGUGGCCAAGGUAAAUGCAGAUGAACCGCUUCUAAUAGUCCAUUGACUUGGACAAUACUUUUAUGAUCUGAUCUCAAAUCAGGUAGGACUACCCGCUGAACUUAAGC